rnacentral:rRNA from 1 species
UACGGGGGGGGCAAGCGUUGUUCGGAAUUACUGGGCGUAAAGGGCGCGUAGGCGGCCUUCUAAGUCGGACGUGAAAUCCCUCGGCUCAACCGAGGAACUGCGUCUGAUACUGGAAGGCUUGAAUCCGGGAGAGGGAUGUGGAAUUCCAGGUGUAGCGGUGAAAUGCGUAGAUAUCUGGAGGAACACCGGUGGCGAAGGCGGCAUCCUGGACCAAUAUUGACGCUGAGGAGCGAAAGCCAGGGGAGCAAACGGG